rnacentral:pre_miRNA from 1 species
AAAGUACUCCCUCCGUCCCAAAAUUCUUGUCUUAGAUUUGUCUAGAUAUGGAUGUAUCAAGUCACAUUUUAGUAUUAGAUACAUCCGUAUCUAGAUAAAUCUAAGACAAGAAAUUUGGGACAGAGGGAGUAGUUG